GCAUGGAGUAGUGGUUUAAGCAGCAGACUAUGACUCUGGAGACCAGGAUUCAAAUCCCUGCCUAAGCC